UACAGAGGUCCCGAGCGUUGUUCGGAUUCAUUGGGCGUAAAGGGUGCGUAGGCGGCGGGGUAAGUUUGAUGUGAAAUCCCGGGGGCUCAACCCUGGAAUUGCAUUGAAUACUACCUUGCUAGAGUACCGGAGAGGAAACUGGAAUUUACGGUGUAGCAGUGAAAAUGCGUAGAGAUCGUAAGGAAGACCAGUGGCGAAGGCGAGUUUCUGGACGGUA
rnacentral:rRNA from 1 species